UCGGUAAAAAUAAACUGCACUUGCUUUAGAAACUUAAUUAAAAUUUCAAGUGCUAAUAUCCUCAAAUAAAAAUCAUACUAACUUGGUCAUAAUGACACACGUAACAAAACUCACAUAAUCAAUCAGUCACGUAAUUUCACAUAAUAUCACGUCAAAGCAGUCGGCAAACACAGACAAACUAGACGUCUCUCCGACCGAUUCCUUUUUUUUUUAUCAAGGUUUUUCACUCUUUCUUUCUCGACUCUAUUUCCAACUCAUUAUUCCUAUUUUCUUAAUAGGACAAUCAAUCUCUCUGACAUCUCAGUACUCUCAAUAGUGUUAAGACACUAUCUCACAACAUAGGGAAAAGUACGGGGUAUUACAUGUACUAUCAAAUUUAGAUAAAAUUCAUGACUUCAUGCAUAAUUUAAAAUUCAUGUGGCUCAUAUAAAUACACUUAACUCACCAAUUAAAACUUAUGCACCACAUUUAUAAAAAUUUUCCUUUAACUAAGCACAUUAAAACACAUAGAUAAUGAUUAAAUCACAUCAGAUAAAUCAAACCAGUUUUUUUAUUAUAAAUGGAUGCCGAAUCCUAAUUAUUAAUAAUUAAGCCCUUAAUCAGGGAUUAAAAGUCGGGGUAUGACAUACUAUCCACUUUAAAAGAAGUUUCGUCACGAAAUUUGUACCACAGAAAAUAAUUCUGGGUACUUCUCAUUCAUGCUAGAAUCGAGUUCCCACAUCGCCUUUUCUUGAUCAUAGUGCUUCCAAAGAACUAUUACUAAGGGUAUCGACUUAUUCCUUAGUACUUUAACUUUCCGAUCUAGAAUAGAUUCGGGUCUCUCCUCAUAUCAAUUGGAUUCCUAAUUCCAAUUUAUAUACACGAGAUUUACUUGAGAAUAAGUUCCCUCGUCCUUUUUCGGCGGUUCAUUACUCCUACCUCAUUCCUAGGGCUCAUCUACGGAGUAUCCUAUUUUCCAAAGACCAAAAUGGUCAUCAAUCCAUUUCUUGUUACCUAUCACAUGCAUAACACUUUCUUAUGAAUCUAUCUUAAAACUAUCAUAGACCAAUUAACUUAAGUCCUCGUACUCGAACACUAUAUUACGGUCUUAGCUUGGACUCUGAAUUUCUAUCAUAAUGAGUGGUCGAUAUCAUUUAUAGGACAAAAACUAAUCUCAACCAAUCACAAUGAGACACAAUUAUAUGAAGUCAUAGUUUGGGUAGUAUACUACAUCGGUAGACUAACAUUUCUUGGUCUUAUCAAACAAGGGGAUCUAUUAUGACAACUCACGAGUUGCAAGGCUCAAACUCAACACAACAUCAAAACAAGGUGUUGUAGAAAUUGUUCAAGAGAAUCAAAAGAAUGACCAGAGGGUAUGAAAUGAUUAACUACUAGGUCGAACAAAAUGACCUCGAGUAUGAAACCAUCUGGCUUUUCAACCGAAAGUUGAAACACAUGGGUUUUCAACCCAAAAGACGUCUACUGAGAUUUGGAUCAUGUGGACUGGCCAGGUCCAACAUCAUCACCUCCCAGUCACACGGGAAACAUCGUCCCGAACUUGGAGAGCCAUGAACAUACUAUACAUAACAAAGCAUAAGUUCAUUAUGACAACUAAACUUAUCUUAAGGUUCCUUAUCCUAUUGAUCUCAAACCCCAAACCUCUCUUAAGACAUAUACACACAGACAUACGUACACAGGCAAAACACACUAUUCUUAAAAUCUAUCGUGUAGCAAAAGUCGAUUCGAUGUUCCGUCGCACUUGAACAUUCGAACGUAGAGACUAUGGUUAGCGGACUAUAAACGACGUUAUUUGGCGCAUACUCGUUUAAGAUCAAGAACUACAACUCUAUGAUUAUUUUUUAAUAUUUUUUACUAAUUUCUAUCCAUUUCCUACGCCAUUGAAGAGAAACUGCAUCAAUUUCAUUGCUUCAACAAAUUCAUGGCCGCUGAAUUCAAAUUCAUGGAAUGGAAAUUCACAGAAAUUUUAGCAUGGCCAUCGGGCCGAUGUCAAACGUCGACGUCAUUCGAUAAUCCNUACGAAGCCAUAAUUUGGGUAGUAUACUACAUCGGUAGACUAACACUUCUUGGUCUUAUCAAACAAGGGAAUCUAUUAUGACAACUCACGAGUUGCAAGGCUCAAACUCAACACAACAUCAAAGCAAGGUGUUGUAGAAAUUGUUCAAGAGAAUCAAAAAAAUGACCAGAGGGUAUGAAAUGAUUAACUACUAGGUCGAACAAAAUGACCUCGAGUAAGAGCCCAUCUGGCUUUUCAGCCGAAAGUUGAAACACAUGGGUUUUCAACCCAAAAGACGUCUACUGAGAUUUGGAUCAUGUGGACUGGCCAGGUCCAACAUCAUCACCUCCCAGUCACACGGGAAACAUCGUC
rnacentral:lncRNA from 1 species